rnacentral:rRNA from 1 species
AUUGAACGCUGGCGGCAUGCCUAACACAUGCAAGUCGAACGAGUGGCGGACGGGUGAGUAAUGUCUGGGAAACUGCCUGAUAGAGGGGGAUAACUAAUGGAAACGGUAGCUAAUACCGCAUACCAUCGGAGCGGCCCAUAUCGGAUUAGCUAGUGGGUGGGGUAAAGGCCUACCUAGGCGACGAUCCGUAGCGGGUCUGAGAGGAUGACCAGCCACACUGGAACUGAGACACGGCCCAGACUCCUACGGGAGGCAGCAGGGGGGAAUUUUGGACAAUGGGCGCAAGCCUGAUGCAGCCAUGCCGCGUGUAUGAAGAAGGCCUUCGGGUUGUAAAGUACUUUUGGUGGGGAGGCGUUACCCGCAGAAGAAGCACCGGCUAACUCCGUGCCAGCAGCCGCGGUAAUAC